rnacentral:rRNA from 1 species
AUUGAACGCUGGCGGCAGGCCUAACACAUGCAAGUCGAACGAGUGGCGGACGGGUGAGUAAUGUCUGGGAAACUGCCUGAUGGAGGGGGAUAACUACUGGAAACGGUAGCUAAUACCGCAUACCAUCGGAUGUGCACAGAUGGGAUUAGCUAGUAGGGGGGGUAAAGGCUCACCUAGGCGACGAUCCCUAGCUGGUCUGAGAGGAUGACCAGCCACACUGGAACUGAGACACGGUCCAGCCUCCGACGCGAGGCAGCAGUGGGGAAUAUUGCACAAUGUGCGAAAGCCGGGUCCAGCCAUGCCGCGUGUAUGAAGAAGGCCUUCGGGUUGUAAAGUACUUUCAGCGGGGAGUCGUUACCCGCAGACGAAGCACCGGCUAACUCCGUGCCAGCAGCCGCGGUAAUUC